ACGAAGGGUAUAAAAAUGGGAGGUCGUAAUUUCUAUACAUAAGCCAACAAACCAUGUUAGAAUUCGAACUAUGGUGGCUAAUGCUACUCGAACCCAAGUGGCGAAGAUUUUUCUCUCCUUUACUAUUGGACUAAAGCGACUUGGUUUGCAAUUAUGACUAAACGUCAUGCACAAUUAGUGGUCGUAAAGUAGUCGUAACAUUGUCGCAAAAUUUAGUGACUAAUUGACGAUUAAGUAAUGAUUAAACCGCAUGAAUAACAUGUCGUCUAAGUAUAGUCCUAAAAUAGUCGUAAAAUGUUACCAACUAUUAUGCG
rnacentral:lncRNA from 1 species